AAGGCCAGUGCUUGCACUGGUGCUCGAGUGGCGAACGGGUGAGUAACACGUGGGUGAUCUGCCCUGCACUUUGGGAUAAGCCUGGGAAACUGGGUCUAAUACCAGAUAGGACCAUGCUUUGGAUGGUGUGGUGGAAAGUUUUUUCGGUGUGGGAUGAGCUUGCGGCCUAUCAGCUUGUUGGUGGGGUAAUGGCCUACCAAGGCGUCGACGGGUAGCCGGCCUGAGAGGGUGUACGGCCACAUUGGGACUGAGAUACGGCCCAGACUCCUACGGGAGGCAGCAGUGGGGAAUAUCGCACAAUGGGCGCAAGCCUGAUGCAGCGACGCCGCGUGGGGGAUGACGGCCUUCGGGUUGUAAACUCCUUUCGCAACUGACGAAGCU
rnacentral:rRNA from 1 species